AGCAGCCGCGGUAAUUCCAGCUCCAAUAGCGUAUAUUAAAGUUGUUGCAGUUAAAAAGCUCGUAGUUGAAUUUCGGGAUCAGUACGCUGGUCGUGCCUUUGGUAUGUACUGGUGUCACUGAUUCCUCCCUUCUGAAGAACCGUUAUGCCAUUUAUUUGGUGUGGCGGGGAAUCAGGACUGUUACUUUGAAAAAAUUAGAGUGUUUAAAGCAGGCUCGCGCUUGAAUACAUUAGCAUGGAAUAAUGAAAUAGGACGUUUGAUCUUAUUUUGUUGGUUUCUAGGAUCGACGUAAUGAUUAAUAGGGAUAGUUGGGGGCAUUAGUAUUCAAUUGUCAGAGGUGAAAUUCUUGGAUUUAUUGAAGACUAACUACCGCGAAAGCAUUUGCCAAGGAUGUUUUCAUUAAUCAAGAACGAAAGUUAGGGGAUCGAAGACGAUCAGAUACCGUCGUAGUCUUAACCAUAAACUAUGCCGACUAGGGACCGGAUGAUGUUAUUUUUAAUGACUCAUUCGGCGCCUUAAC
rnacentral:rRNA from 1 species